rnacentral:rRNA from 1 species
UACGUAGGUGGCAAGCGUUGUCCGGAUUUAUUGGGCGUAAAGCGAGCGCAGGCGGUUUCUUAAGUCUGAUGUGAAAGCCCCCGGCUCAACCGGGGAGGGUCAUUGGAAACUGGGAGACUUGAGUGCAGAAGAGGAGAGUGGAAUUCCAUGUGUAGCGGUGAAAUGCGUAGAUAAUAUGGAGGAACACCAGUGGCGAAGGCGGCUCUCUGGUCUGUAACUGACGCUGAGGAGCGAAAAGCGUGGGGAGCGAACAGG